UCAUUCUGACUCAAAGUUAUCAUUAUGGUCCUUGCUAUCAAGAGAAGGGAAAGUUGUUGCUACAGAUGGAUACAAGGAAGAUUGUCUAGCAUUCAUGGAAUUUUGUCAGAUUCCCUUCGAGUGAAGAGAAGCUCUACCUGACCAGGGCACAGUAAUAUUGGAUUGGAUCUCAGGAAUGGGAAUGUGGGUCACUCUACCAGGAGGCUUGGAGUUCUGAUGAGACAGCAUGACUAUCCUUGGAUGUGAGUUUACGGAACAAUGGAAUGCCUACCUGGAAGUACUAGCUGGAGGUCACCACCCUGGAUGCUUUUAAUUUGCACCUGGCUUACUUCUGACAAGGUGGCUCCAACGUAUAAUUUUAUUUUUCAAGAUACUUUUUGAAAUGUCCUCAAAUUAUAAAAACCAAAGAAAAGAAGAAAGGAAAAAAGAAAGAGAGAGAGAGAGAGAGAGAGAGAGAGAGAGAGAGAGAGAGGAAGAAAGAAAGUAGACAUGUGAGGAGCACAGCCAGAGUCAGAGACACUGCAAAGCAAGUUGUUUAAAUAAAG
rnacentral:lncRNA from 1 species